GAACCUGCGUGGAGUUUCCGAGCCGUUACGUUCGUACAUUAUCCACUCUCGCCUCCUCUCCCUCCUCUCCCGCUCUCUCUCUCUCUAUCUCUCGCGCCCUCUCCAUCAUGGAGAGCUAAAACCCUAGUUCGCCUUGUCCUUCUCCCUCAUCUUCAAACCCUAAUUUCUCGAUUCCUUUUGAUGCGAUUAAGGUCGCGGCUGCGUCCUACUCCCUCGACGAGGAAUUUGCCGUGGAUUGCGUGCUAGGGCAAUGCGAAGACCCUAAUCAUAGGGCACGGAAAGAUUGAAAAAUGUGGCGUCUUUUUCAGGUAAUUAAUGAGCACUCUAAUGGUUACCUUCGGCAGGAUGAGCAGUUGUAACAGCAGGGAGAGAUUUCGGAGGAAAUCUCAUGCCCACCACAUGUCUGUGUUUAUUUCCCAACGAAAUCGGAUUGGCGGUUUGGUGUCUUUCGCGAAGAGGAGGAAGAAGAGGCAUUUAAAGAAGCGGGCUUGGUGGGAGAGAUUGUUCUCCGAUGAGGACUAUGAGGGUCAGGUCGAGUGGAGCGCCGAGGAUGUGCUUGGCGGUGAUGCGGGGGAAAGUCGGGAAGAAGGGAUUACGGAGAAUGAGGAGUUCGAAGCAUGGAGAAGGAAGGCGGAGGCGAUUAUAGAGCUGCGGGAAGCGCAGGAGGAUGCGAGGAGUGAAGAUGGUCGGGCGUGGGAGGAUUGGAUUGGGGCCCGGGAUCCAGAUUGGGGCGAAGGGGGUGAACCUUCAAAUGAGGUGUUUGAUGAUCCAAGUAAGAUAAUGUGGGAGAAGGGUUUAGUUAAAUCCAUCAAGGAUACGAUUGACGGGAAUGAUGACGAGUUGUUGUUCGAGGAUAGGGUUUUCAAGUAUGCUUCGACAAGCUCGGCAAAAUUUAUCGCUUUGCUGGUCUUGAUUCCAUGGGCUCUAGACUUUGUGGUUCAUGACUAUGUUCUCAUGCCUUUUUUAGAUAGGUAUGUGAAGCUCGUGCCCCUUGCUGCUGAGAUGCUUGAUGUUAGAAGACAACAAAAACUUGAGAUGAUAAAGGCUCUAAAAGUUGAAAGCGCAAGAUACCGCUUUGAAGCAGAGAUUGGUAAAGCUCCUCCUCUUUCUGAUGAAGAAGUCUGGUUAGAGUUGCGGGACAAAGCGAUAGAGUUGAGAGAUGAAUGGAGAUUGGAGAACCGAAAAGCAUUUGCAAAUAUCUGGUCCGAUAUGGUGUAUGGCAUUGCACUGUUUAUUCUUAUUUAUUUCAAUCAGAGCAAGGUUGCUUUGCUCAAGUUUACAGGGUAUAAGCUAUUAAAUAAUAUUUCAGACACCGGAAAGGCAUUUCUUAUCAUUCUAAUUACGGACAUUUUUUUGGGGUACCAUUCUGAGUCGGGUUGGCAGGUGUUGAUAGAAAUUAUCCUUGAGAGAUAUGGGCUUGAGGUUGAUCAAGCUGCGAUUACCGUUUUUAUCUGCUCAGUUCCAGUGGUUAUUGAUGCUUGUGUGAAGUUUUGGUUAUUCAAGUUCCUUCCAAGGUUGUCUCCAAACGUGGCAAAUAUUUUUCGGGAAAUGAAGCGUCACUAAUAUGUGUUUUUUUGGCAUAUGUUCCUUUCACCUGGAGAAUCACUGGAUGGAGAUCGUGCUACAUGUAUGUUUAUCUUCCUUAUAUGCUAUCUUUUACAAGCUAAAGAGUGAGAGCCUUGGAUAUCCAAUUCGUAUCGAACUAAAUUAGAAACAAGCUGUUGCCUUCAUUUAUCCUUUGGCAGGUACUCUAAUACGAUGAAGAAUGUACUGACCAGAGUCAAUAUUUGUCAUUUGCAUGCAUCAAGAUGGAGCUAAACGAUUUCUCUGGUCCAAGUUCUAUCACCUGCAAUCACUCUUAUGACUUCCCACUGUUCUCCUAGAUUAUGUCAUGUUAUGACCUUUUUGUUGUCAUUUUGGCAAAUUCUAUGAGUUCUAAGAAUCUCUAGUAGAAAGGUUGAAUAGAGAGGAUGUUUUUUUCCUCGUCUCAUUGAAAUAUAGAUCUGACUAUGUUGACAGAUUGGUUUUGGGUUUUUACAGAUCAUCUGAAGAAAGCAUAUAUGCUCAGUUUUUCAUGUUCUC